UUUUCUCUAUUGACAGUCCAUGUUAAUUCAUGGCGGUAUUUUAUGGUGAUAGGAAGACGUUCGGUGACUUGAUGAGAGGUAUCAGUAGCUUCCCGAUGCUUAAUUCAUGCACUUAUUACCAGUGCGCAAUACAGAAGCUCUGUGGCAUGAAAUAAAAUUAACUUGAAUCAUCUCAGAGUGUACCUGCGCGAGAAACUGCAAGGAAAGUAUUGCUCUAGCCACCAGUAAGUCCACUAAACUACACUCUACAUAACUACAGCUGGACUAUAUUAACCAGCACCCAGGGACAGAGCACCACAUGGAAAGUAUGAGGGCUCAUGCAAUGCUGGCAAAAGGUUCCUCAGUCAUGGUUGCAUCUAGCCAACCACAGUGAGCACGAGGCCGUCAUUGGGGGUUUUAAAUGUCUGCACCAUCUAACAAAGCGGGAGCAGUGCCAUCACACAAACUUCCCAGAACUGCUGGACCUUGCUGAAUUGCUGGGUUGCUUGUGCCUAUUUCACAAAGCUCAAAAUUGACAAGAACACAAACUACAGGUCCUACAUAAUAGUGGAUGAAAUGUUGAAGAUUCUGGCUCAACUUGUGGAGGAGCCUAUCCUCAAUGUCAUGACAUCCAGACAUCUGUAGCCAUUGGCCUGGACGCUGAUGAAACUACAGAUAUGACAACUAAUAAGCAGCUGGAUUUACAUGUCAGAUACAUGGACCAAGAGGUUCAACUUUACAACCAGUUCCUGGACCUGGUGUCAGUCCCUGAUGGCAAGGCAGACACCAUCGUUGGCUAGUCUGGUCUCCUCUUGUUUACCUACUGCAUCUACACUCAAAAUAAAUAUAUUUUGUAGGAAGUAAAGAAUGUUCGCUGGCUGUCCCGGCACCUGGCCGUGGCUAAUCUUCAGCGAAACCUCAGCGCAGUGUUGGCUGCAUAGUCUGAGGAGGUGGAGGUGAACCGGUGCCCAACUGCUUAGGGCCACUAUGCUUUCUGUUCCACGUACAGAUUUGUGGCAGCACUUUACCUGCAGGCGGACGUGCUGCCUCGCCUGACAUGGCUUUUAAAAGUAUUUCAAAUGGACGAUGUAAACUUCCAGGCCAUAAAAGAGCGGGUCCCUGUGACAAUGGCAUCACUCCUUGCCAUAAAAAAAAUUCUGAUGAUUCUGAGCCAACUCCACCAGGACCUCGAUGACCCAAUUGGUCUGGGGGCAUUCAACAUCAGGGAGAGGGAGAGGCCAGGUGGAGAAGACCAAGACCAGGGAGCAGUUCUGGGCUCGGUUCAGAGAGGAGUUUUGUGCUGUAAUCAGGUCAUGGAUCCAUAUCUUGUUGGCAUCCAGGACAGCCUAGACCAGAGGUUCCAACACAUGGAUAUUCUGGGGGCCUUCAGUUUGUUGGGACCUUAGGCUGUGUUCUCUAGUGUGAGGAUAAACACCUUUUAACCUGGCCCUCCUCUCCAGGCAGUUCUUGCAAGCGCCACAGAGGCUGCUGUGCUGCAAGAGUGGCACUCUCACAAGCAACAUGUGCUCGUUGGAGCACUCAAGUUCCCGCUCUCCUUUGGCCGGAGUUGUCGUUGCAACUGGGAUUCUUUUGGCUGAAGAGGGUCUGGAGGACGGAUGGGGGCUGCAAGGGUUUUGUUUCGGCGUUGUUGCGCUCGCCCUGGUGGCUCCUGAACACAAAUAUAGGCGGCUGGACUUCUUACCUGCAGUGGGGGAGCUGGCUGCGUGGUGUUGAGACUUCUUUGGCAGGUUGAAAAUCUGCUCACCGGGG